GACGUAGGGCGCGAGCGUUGUCCGGAUUUAUUGGGCGUAAAGAGCUCGUAGGCGGCUUGUCGCGUCGUCCGUGAAAACCCACAGCUCAACUGUGGGCUUGCGGUCGAUACGGGCAGGCUAGAGUUCGGUAGGGGAGACUGGAAUUCCUGGUGUAGCGGUGAAAUGCGCAGAUAUCAGGAAGAACACCGAUGGCGAAAGCAGCUCUCUGGGACGGUACUGACGCUGAGGCGCGAAAGCGUGGGGAGCGAACAGG
rnacentral:rRNA from 1 species